rnacentral:rRNA from 1 species
AGUGAACGCUGGCGGUAGGCCUAACACAUGCGAGUCGAACGGCAGCACAGUAAGAGCUUGCUCUUACGGGUGGCGAGUGGCGGACGGGUGAGGAAUACAUCGGAAUCUACUUUUUCGUGGGGGAUAACGUAGGGAAACUUACGCUAAUACCGCAUACGACCUACGGGUGAAAGCAGGGGAUCUUCGGACCUUGCGCGAUUGAAUGAGCCGAUGUCGGAUUAGCUAGUUGGCGGGGUAAAGGCCCACCAAGGCGACGAUCCGUAGCUGGUCUGAGAGGAUGAUCAGCCACACUGGAACUGAGACACGGUCCAGACUACUACGGGAGGCAGCAGUGGGGAAUAUUGGACAAUGGGCGCAAGCCUGAUCCAGCCAUACCGCGUGGGUGAAGAAGGCCUUCGGGUUGUAAAGCCCUUUUGUUGGGAAAGAAAAGCAGCAGGUUAAUACCCCGCUGUUCUGACGGUACCCAAAGAAUAAGCACCGGCUAACUUCGUG